rnacentral:rRNA from 1 species
GAUGAACGCUGGCGGCGUGCCUAAUACAUGCAAGUCCAGCGAACGGACGAGAAGCUUGCUUCUCUGAUGUUAGCGGCGGACGGGUGAGUAACACGUGGAUAACCUACCUAUAAGACUGGGAUAACUUCGGGAAACCGGAGCUAAUACCGGAUAAUAUUUUGAACCGCAUGGUUCAAAAGUGAAAGACGGUCUUGCUGUCACUUAUAGAUGGAUCCGCGCUGCAUUAGCUAGUUGGUAAGGUAACGGCUUACCAAGGCAACGAUGCAUAGUCGACCUGAGAGGGUGAUCGGCCACACUGGAACUGAGACACGGUCCAGACUCCUACGGGAGGCAGCAGUAGGGAAUCUUCCGCAAUGGGCGAAAGCCUGACGGAGCAACGCCGCGUGAGUGAUGAAGGUCUUCGGAUCGUAAAACUCUGUUAUUAGGGAAGAACAUAUGUGUAAGUAACUGUGCACAUCUUGACGGUACCUAAUCAGAAAGCCACGGCUAACUACGUG